GAGGAAUUCCCCGCCAAGUUGAAAAGUUGAACCUGCCUCCCAAACUUUCUCCUGUAGUCCAGACGGGGACGCCCUGAGGGAGCGUUUGUGUCAGUAAUGGGAAAUCUGCAAGCUAGACGGAAAUGACCUGCUAGUGAUUGCGCUGUAAAGAAGCCGGAAUCCACCUCUUGAAGGCAUGAAGUUCAGGUGCUGGACACUUUUUGAUUGUCUUUCGCUCAUACAAAAAAAAAAAUGAACCACUGGACACAAUGGCUUCUGCUAGUAAUCCCAACACUUUGGGAGGCUGAGACAGGAGGAUCGCUUGAGGCCAGGAGUCAGAGACAAACCUGGGCAACAUAGUGUGAUUCCAUCUUUACAAAAAAAAAAAUUUUAACUUAGCUGGGCAUGGUUGUGUACACCUGUAGUCCCAGCUAUAUGGGAGGUUGAGAUGGAAGGAUUGGUUAAGCCCAGGAGUUUGAAUUUGCAGUGAACUAUGGUCGUGCCACAGCACUCCAGCCUGGAUGACAGAGUGAGACUCUGAAUCUGACUAAAAA
rnacentral:lncRNA from 1 species